rnacentral:rRNA from 1 species
AUUGAACGCUGGCGGCAGGCCUACACAUGCAAGUCGAACGGUAACAGGAAGCAGCUUGCUGCUUCGCUGACGAGUGGCGGACGGGUGAGUAAUGUCUGGGAAACUGCCUGGUGGAGGGGGAUAACUACUGGAAACGGUAGCUAAUACCGCAUAACGUCGCAAGACCCAAGAGGGGGACCUUAGGGCCUCUUGCCAUCGGAUGUGCCCAGAUGGGAUUAGCUAGUAGGUGGGGUAACGGCUCACCUAGGCGACGAUCCCUAGCUGGCCUGAGAGGAUGACCAGCCACACUGGAACUGAGACACGGUCCAGACUCCUACGGGAGGCAGCAGUGGGGAAUAUUGCACAAUGGGCGCAAGCCUGAUGCAGCCAUGCCGCGUGUAUGAAGAAGGCCUUCGGGUUGUAAAGUACUUUCAGCGGGGAGGAAGGGAGUAAAGUUAAUACCUUUGCUCAUUGACGUUACCCGCAGAAGAAGCACCGGCUAACUCCGUG